CAGCAGCCGCGGGAAUACGAAGGGGGCUAGCGUUGCUCGGAAUGACUGGGCGUAAAGGGCGCGUAGGCGGAUCACGCAGUCAGAUGUGAAAUUCCUGGGCUUAACCUGGGGGCUGCAUUUGAGACGUGUGGUCUAGAGUGUGAAAGAGGGUCGUGGAAUUCCCAGUGUAGAGGUGAAAUUCGUAGAUAUUGGGAAGAACACCGGUGGCGAAGGCGGCGACCUGGUUCAUGACUGACGCUGAGGCGCGAAAGCGUGGGGAGCAAACAGGAUUAGAUACCCCUGUAGUCCCUGUCUCUUAUAC
rnacentral:rRNA from 1 species